rnacentral:rRNA from 1 species
AUUGAACGCUGGCGGCAUGCCUUACACAUGCAAGUCGAACGGUAACAGGUCUUCGGAUGCUGACGAGUGGCGAACGGGUGAGUAAUGCAUCGGAACGUGUCCUGAAGUGGGGGAUAACGCAUCGAAAGAUGUGCUAAUACCGCAUAUUCUCUGAGGAGGAAAGUAGGGGAUCGAAAGACCUUAUGCUUUUGGAGCGGCCG